rnacentral:sRNA from 1 species
AAUGAAAAACAGAUGGAAUCUAUACUAUUAAUUGGGAAGCAUUGUGUGAACUACAACAUUGUAAGGGUAGUUUAAAACUAACUAAAUGAAUUUUUGCAUGGGUAAUUUAGUAAAUUAACAACUACUACUACUACUAAAUAAAUAUCUUAU